rnacentral:rRNA from 2 species
UGGCGGCCGUAGCGCGGUGGUCCCACCUGACCCCAUGCCGAACUCAGAAGUGAAACGCCGUAGCGCCGAUGGUAG